AUUGAACGCUGGCGGCAUGCUUUACACAUGCAAGUCGAACGGCAGCGGGGGCUUCGGCCUGCCGGCGAGUGGCGAACGGGUGAGUAAUGCAUCGGAAUGUGCCCAGUCAUGGGGGAUAACUACGCGAAAGCGUAGCUAAUACCGCAUACGCCCUGAGGGGGGAAAGUGGGGGAUCUUCGGACCUCACGUGAUUGGAGCGGCCGAUGUCAGAUUAGCUAGUUGGUGAGGUAAAGGCUCACCAAGGCGACGAUCUGUAGCGGGUCUGAGAGGAUGAUCCGCCACACUGGGACUGAGACACGGCCCAGACUCCUACGGGAGGCAGCAGUGGGGAAUUUUGGACAAUGGGCGCAAGCCUGAUCCAGCCAUGCCGCGUGAGUGAAGAAGG
rnacentral:rRNA from 1 species